GCAGCUGUAUGGAGGAGUCUUGGGUUUUUUUUUGCUGCAUCUUCAUUCUUGGAGACACUGCCAUCAUCUACUGCGGAAGCUUUUGAGUGAUUCACAAGCGCUGCUCCGGAGACUCCAUGCAAUGCUGUAGCGUCACCCAGCGUCAACAGAUGUCCACGGCUAAGGCUGUUUUCCAGUCUAUACGGAUUGCUUUGAAGUAAUUCCUUUGAAGAGAUUCAUACAGAAAACUUCUCAAAUCAUAGAUAACUGUCACAGACAUCGAACUCAAAGAGGUUGAUGGUAAAAUCGAGGAUACUACUGAAAAUAAUGCAGGC
rnacentral:sRNA from 1 species